AGCAAGAACAGUCAGAGAAUGCCCAAGGAUGAAGUCAUUGGUCUUGUCCAAUAAAGCACUAGCACUAGCAGCAAACACUGCCCGCAGGCAGGAAGGACUACUUCUGGCAACAGGGUCGAGCAUGUAGGAAAAAUAGCCAAUGGGUCUCUGUCUGGAACCAUGGGAUUGUGUAAGGACCCCUGAAGCAUGGCCCAUCUUUUCUGAAACAAACAGUUUGAAAGGCAAUUGGUAGUUG